ACAAGUGGUGGGAAGAAAAAAAAGAAGUGGGUGUGGUAUUAUAUUAAAGAAAAGGACCACAAGAGAAGAGGAUAGCUGGGGUUUAAGCCAAGUGUGGGAGGAGCGGGUGGCCUCGAGGGUUUUUCAUCCGCCGAUCUAGGAACCGAUGACAAAAAAAUCCUGCUCAGGUGCUCUCUAUUAGAUGAUUCAUUUUGGAUGCGCCUUGGAGGUAAAGAUGACCAAUGUGGUAUGAGCAUUCCUUCACUGUCAGUGAAUGCCUGCUGUGUAGGCUACAUCAAAAUAUGGUAGCGCAGAAGAGGUUGUGCCAUGGAUCUCGUGGCCGCCAGAUUCCAGUCAUCUCAUAUGUCCAAAACUCAGUUCAGGGGAAACGCACCAGGAGAAGAAAUAAAAAUGAGAUAUGUUCAUUUGAUUUGCUUGCGACUGUUGCCGGGACACUACUAGCAGAUCAGGACAGUUCAUCGAAUGUUGCUAACACUCAUGGAGCAGCAACAAGUUAUGCGAGAAAUAGAAAAUCAGUUAAAUAAGAAUAUUUUGAUGAAAUUUUGCCCCCCAAAAAUGUAGCUGUGAAGAAAGACUGCUGCAGUGGAUGUGUAGCGAGUUCUGGUGGUGUCUCUGCCUUAGCUAGGCAAGCUAAUGAUAGCUGGGAAGAAAACUCGUCGACAAGAAAUGAAGCUGAAUCAGUACUAGAGUCAAUAACAGUGAAAUCAGAUAUGCUAGUUAGGGACUCGUCAGUUAGAUGUACAAGACCAUGUGAGAUCAGUCAUGGUCUUGACAUAAUUCGUGAGCCUGGAGCUUUUGGAGUACGCCAUCCAGGAUCCUCAUGUUCGGCAGAGGUUGUACAAGCACAUCAAGCUGAACCUAUCAGAAGACAAACAGACGGGCAUGCUGCAGCUCUUGACAGCUUGUUUGACUCUGUGGAUCUGGAUGGCAGACCUCCUGCUUUGGUUAGUUCUGACAGUAGCUCACGUGUGCUUUUGUGCAGGCAUGACAAGGAACAUAAAGCCUUGUGUAAGGUUGAAGUGCACCAUACUGCAGAUAGAGACAAUGACGAAAAUUCUUCUGGGUGCACACAUCCAAGCACCACAGGAAAUGAGGGUUACAAACCACACUAUCUAGGUAACCAUAGAAUCAGGAAAUUGCUUGCCUCGAAGGUAAGGAAGGCAGCAUGUAAGACUUGUGGAGGGAUGUCCAACAAAGGUAGCAAGCUAAGCUUCUGUGGGAAAAAGAUACCCGGCACACGUCAAAAGGUGCGAAGGACAAAUUUCAAGAGGACGAAGCUAACACGAGGUGCAACUAAAGGGAUGCUAACUGGAGCCUGUGGGACAUCAUUCACUACGAAAGGUCAAAAUAAAUUGUGUGGAUUUGAGGACUACCAAGUUAAUCUAAAGAUCAAUUCAUUUAACAUCCCAGAAUUGUUUGUUGAGAUUCCUGAAACUGCAACCAUCGGUUCGUUGAAGAGAACCGUGAUGGAUGUUGUCACUAGUAUAAUGGAAGAUGGCCUACGUGUUGGUGUUCUUCUUCAAGGAAAGAGUAUCCAAGAUGACAACAAGACACUGCAUCAAGCUGGGAUAUGCCAUGGCGAAAAACUAAAUAACAUAGACUUUACACUGGAAUGUGAUCGUCAGCAAGAUUCUCCCUCUGGAGUCAUAAUACAGGAAGAAAUGGAUUUUGCCAGUGCAGAUAUUGUGGAACCAUUAGCUAGGAUGAAAUAUGAAGAGCCAUUUCCUGAAACUAAAGGUGGUUGUGGCAACCAGCAGCCUAUGAAGGCAUACCUAAAUGGCUCUCUCGCUGGUUGUGUUCAUCAUCCUGUUGAAAUGGCAUCACAAGAUACAUCAGCAAGCUUGCAAUCCGUAAUCCGUGUUGCAGCUUCAGAUUUGAAUGCUCUAGCCACUGUCCCUAUUUGCAAGGCCAGACGAUCUGAAAUCGGGCAAAGGCGCGCUAGGAUGCCCUUCUCUGUUGGUGAGGUUGAGGCGCUGGUGGAAGCUGUGGAACAGCUCGGGACUGGGAGGUGGAAAGAUAUUAAAAUGCAUGGAUUUGACGGUGCUGAUCACAGGACUUAUGUUGACCUUAAGGACAAGUGGAAGACCCUGGUGCACACUGCAAGCAUAUCCCCACAACAGCGAAGAGGCGAGCCAGUUCCGCAAGAACUCCUGGACCGAGUGCUCUCAGCGCAGGCCUACUGGUCCCAGCAGCAGGAAGCUUCAUGGAAAGGCUCCUGUUCCUGAGAUUUGCCUUGCCUAGAAAGAGGAGAUGCUCCUUAUAAAAAAAUUGUGCCUAAUAAUAGAAACAAGAUAGAAGGGAUAAGCAAAGGAAUCAGACUAAUUUGUGUGUUAUUGCAAACUUGUAACAUUUUUUCCCCUCUGAUCUCUGUUGAAGCCAGAGGUUCUCUCCUGUCUGUGUGGAUCAAUAAGGGGGAGAACCUUGUUUGGCACUUGUAAAUGAUGUUGUGCAGACUGUUGCUGCCAUAUUUCAUAAGAAUGCUGUUGUUCUUGGGCAUGAUUGGUUUUCAA